rnacentral:tRNA from 1 species
GGAGGAUUCGCCUAGCGGCCGAGGGCGCACGCUUGGAAAGCGUGUAGAGGGUAACCCCCUCUCGCGGGUUCAAAUCCCGCAUCCUCCGCCA